GGCGGCGUGCUUAACACAUGCAAGUCGAGCGGAAAGGCCCUUCGGGGUACUCGAGCGGCGAACGGGUGAGUAACACGUGAGCAACCUGCCCCAGGCUUUGGGAUAACCCCGGGAAACCGGGGCUAAUACCGAAUAUGACCUUCGGUCGCAUGACUGUUGGUGGAAAGUUUUUCGGCUUGGGAUGGGCUCGCGGCCUAUCAGCUUGUUGGUGGGGUGAUGGCCUACCAAGGCGACGACGGGUAGCCGGCCUGAGAGGGCGACCGGCCACACUGGGACUGAGACACGGCCCAGACUCCUACGGGAGGCAGCAGUGGGGAAUAUUGCACAAUGGGCGGAAGCCUGAUGCAGCGACGCCGCGUGAGGGAUGACGGCCUUCGGGUUGUAAACCUCUUUCAGCAGGGACGAAGCGUAAGUGACGGUACCUGCAGAAGAAGCACCGGCCAACUACGUGCCAGCAGCCGCGGUAAGACGUAGGGUGCGAGCGUUGUCCGGAUUUAUUGGGCGUAAAGAGCUCGUAGGCGGCUUGUCGCGUCGACUGUGAAAACCCGCAGCUCAACUGCGGGCCUGCAGUCGAUACGGGCAGGCUAGAGUUCGGUAGGGGAGACUGGAAUUCCUGGUGUAGCGGUGAAAUGCGCAGAUAUCAGGAGGAACACCGGUGGCGAAGGCGGGUCUCUGGGCCGAUACUGACGCUGAGGAGCGAAAGCGUGGGGAGCGAACAGGAUUAGAUACCCUGGUAGUCCACGCUGUAAACGUUGGGCGCUAGGUGUGGGGGGCCUCUCCGGUUC
rnacentral:rRNA from 1 species